ACUCCUACGGGAGGCAGCAGUGGGGAAUAUUGCACAAUGGGCGAAAGCCUGAUGCAGCAACGCCGCGUGAGGGACGACGGCCUUCGGGUUGUAAACCUCUUUUAGUAGGGAAGAAGCGAAAGUGACGGUACCUGCAGAAAAAGCACCGGCUAACUACGUGCCAGCAGCCGCGGUAAUACGUAGGGUGCAAGCGUUGUCCGGAAUUAUUGGGCGUAAAGAGCUCGUAGGCGGUUUGUCGCGUCUGCUGUGAAAUCCCGAGGCUCAACCUCGGGUCUGCAGUGGGUACGGGCAGACUAGAGUGCGGUAGGGGAGAUUGGAAUUCCUGGUGUAGCGGUGGAAUGCGCAGAUAUCAGGAGGAACACCGAUGGCGAAGGCAGAUCCCUGGGCCGUAACUGACGCUGAGGAGCGAAAGCAUGGGGAGCGAACAGGAUUAGAUACCCUGGUAGUCCAUGCCGUAAACGUUGGGAACUAGAUGUAGGGACCAUUCCACGGUUUCUGUGUCGCAGCUAACGCAUUAAGUUCCCCGCCUGGGGAGUACGGCCGCAAGGCUAAAACUCAAAGGAAUUGACGGGGGCCCGCACAAGCGGCGGAGCAUGCGGAUUAAUUCGAUGCAACGCGAAGAACCUUACCAAGGCUUGACAUAUACCGGAAACGUCCAGAGAUGGUCGCCCCGCAAGGUCGGUAUACAGGUGGUGCAUGGUUGUCGUCAGCUCGUGUCGUGAGAUGUUGGGUUAAGUCCCGCAACGAGCGCAACCCUCGUUCUAUGUUGCCAGCACGUUAUGGUGGGAACUCAUAGGAGACUGCCGGGGUCAACUCG
rnacentral:rRNA from 1 species